CCUACGGGAGGCAGCAGUGGGGAAUAUUGGACAAUGGGCGCAAGCCUGAUCCAGCCAUACCGCGUGUGUGAAGAAGGCCUUUUGGUUGUAAAGCACUUUAAGCGAGAGAGGAGGCUCUUGAGGAUAAUACCCUUGAUGAGUGGACGUUACUCGCAGAAUAAGCACCGGCUAACUCUGUGCCAGCAGCCGCGGUAAUACAGAGGGUGCGAGCGUUAAUCGGAAUUACUGGGCGUAAAGCGCGCGUAGGCGGCUUGUUAAGUCGGAUGUGAAAUCCCCGGGCUCAACCUGGGCACUGCAUUCGAUACUGGCAAGCUAGAGUAUGGGAGAGGAAGGUAGAAUUCCAGGUGUAGCGGUGAAAUGCGUAGAGAUCUGGAGGAAUACCGAUGGCGAAGGCAGCCUUCUGGCCUAAUACUGACGCUGAGGUGCGAAAGCAUGGGGAGCAAACAGGAUUAGAUACCCUGGUAGUCCAUGCCGUAAACGAUGUCAACUAGCCGUUGGGGACCUCGAGUCUUUAGUGCGCAGCUAACGCGAUAAGUUGACCCGCCGUGGGGAGUACGGUCGCAAGACUAAAACUCAAAUGAAUUGACGG
rnacentral:rRNA from 1 species